GAUGAACGCUGGCGGCGUGCCUAAUACAUGCAAGUCGAGCGAACGGACGAGAAGCUUGCUUCUCUGAUGUUAGCGGCGGACGGGUGAGUAACACGUGGAUAACCUACCUAUAAGACUGGGAUAACUUCGGGAAACCGGAGCUAAUACCGGAUAAUAUUUUGAACCGCAUGAUUCAAAAGUGAAAGACGGUCUUGCUGUCACUUAUAGAUGGUUCCGCGCUGCAUUAGCUAGUUGGUAAGGUAACGGCUUACCAAGGCAACGAUGCAUAGCCGACCUGAGAGGGUGAUCGGCCACACUGGAACUGAGACACGGUCCAGACUCCUACGGGAGGCAGCAGUAGGGAAUCUUCCGCAAUGGGCGAAAGCCUGACGGAGCAACGCCGCGUGAGUGAUGAAGGUCUUCGGAUCGUAAAACUCUGUUAUUAGGGAAGAACAUAUGUGUAAGUAACUGUGCACAUCUUGACGGUACCUAAUCAGAAAGCCACGGCUAACUACGUG
rnacentral:rRNA from 1 species